rnacentral:rRNA from 1 species
CCUACGGGUGGCAGCAGUAGGGAAUCUUUCACAAUGGGCGAAAGCCUGAUGGAGCAACGCCGCGUGCAGGAAGAAGGCUCUCGGGUUGUAAACCUCUUUUUAUAGGGAAGUGCAGAAGAGGGUACCUGCCGAUUAAGCCACGGCUAACUACGGGCCAGCAGCCGCGGUAAUACGUAGGUUGCAAGCGUUAGCCGGAUUUACUGGGUGUAAAGGGCGUGUAGCGGGGCUGACAAGUCAGAUGUGAAAUCUGGGGGCUCAACCCCCGAACUGCAUUUGAUACUGUUGGUCUUGAGUAUCGGUGAGGCAGGCGGAAUUCCUGGUGUAGCGGUGAAAUGCGUAGAUAUUAGGAAGAACACCAGUGGCGAAGGCGGCCUGCUGGACGGCAACUGACGGUGAGGCGCGAAAGCGUGGGGAGCAAACAGGAUUAGAUACCCGAGUAGUC